rnacentral:misc_RNA from 1 species
UGGAUGGCCAAUUGCUCAGAAAGAUCAACGCUCCCUCUCUCUAAGUGCAUCUUCGCCUCUGCAUAAGGCGAUUCCAACAACAGACAGUAGAGAUGGGAAAAGAAAAUCACAGAUCAAGCAUCUAAAUUCCUCCUGAUUUCGUGUUGAUUUUUAAGAUUUCUUUUUUGGACUACUAUUUCACUUUUCUUCUCUGAUUUUGGACUGCAACUUUCGACGGAAAGAAAGAGAAGGAGAUCUGGGUUUCGGUCGAUUAUUUAAUUAUUUUUUUUCCUUUGUUUGUUUCUCGAUCGGUUCGCUUCUCGGCAAACAGGUGAUUGAAAACCCUAGUUCUUGAUUCUUGUGAUUGGUGCUUGUUUACAGUUUAGAUCCUUGCCGUCGUUUUUGUUUUUCAUCUGCUUGUUGAAUGCUCUGCGCAUUAAGCGGUGCUUCACUUUGUCAAUGGCGAUUAUCUGUUGGUUUCUGAGUUUAGGAGGAGUAGAAGUGUUGUUGAGUUGUUUUUGAGUUGAUUCUUACAAGUGAUUAUGAUUUUAGGUCCUUUUUUUGGUAGUCCUGAUUUCGAUUUGAAUCCAAAUACUUGUUUUCUCUGUUCGUCUUCUGCCUUCUGUCAAUUUCUGACCUAAAUACAUGGCGUUGCUUAUAUCUUGUUUCUGAAGUAGCUAUCACCGUUAUUCUGGCUUCAAAUGCCAGAUUUGCCAUAUAUGAUGUCGAACUAUCAAUUUGUGCUUGUGGGUUUGGAUUCUGCAUUCUUGUAUUUCUACUUCCAGUGGCAUUAGCACUGAUCCGAAGUUAGAUGUUUCACAGGAUGGGUAGUCUGAGCACCUUGUGUUUUACCUAGCUUCUGGAAUUUUUAAACCUCACAUUAAACUGGCAACAAUUAGAGGUCUUGAUUAGUGGUGGGCAAAGGUGGAAGUGGGCUAAAAUUGAAAGAAUCUGGAGUUUAUUUUAGUUUUUUAUAUACUGGCCUUUUGAGGAUAAAUACUUUGAAUUUCAGGAUUUUUUUUUUCACUUGAAACUUGCUUUUGCUCUUGCAUUGCAGGUGAGCCGUUACCAUUAGAAUAAUUGGAAAUCUAGCAGCAAUGGCAUUCUGCAAAACGUAUGGUGAGAAGCCAUUGGUUAAUGAGAGAGGAUUAUCAUUGGGCAGCAUGCAUGAUGUUAGAGGUUUGAAAUUCUCUAGCCUUAUCAACUCUGAUUUGACUUGGAAGAAGGUUGCAAAAGGCAACAGGACUUCAUCAAGGCGAGCUAGGAACUUGGUUUCUAGAAGCCGGAAUACUGGUGAGGAACUGAUAAAAAUGGAUUCCAACGCUAUGGACAUGUCAUUUUCUGAAUAUGAGAAGCUUGGAGUAAGUGUUCUUGGGUGCCGCUUUAGUGAGAACGCAGACCUUGUGCAUAUAAAGAAAAGGAAAUUAAUGUUCAGAUCACCCACUCCACCACCCAAAGACCCAUCUCAACAUCCCAAGGAAAAUGAAAGGCUCCUAAAAAGUCAACCUGAAGUAGUUGAUUAUGCUGCAUCUGCAAGUUGCUUGGGUCCAACUGUUGAUACUGAGCAUGAUGUCGGUGAGAAGAAAUUUGAGGGGCAAAAUAAGCAACUUAAUGAAAGGGAAGAAUUCUCUGGUAUCUUCAUACUUGCUGCUACUGCCUGCCGUGAUAGUGUUGGAGAAGUUGAUUAUGAGGAGGAUUAUGGAGUUGAAGAAUCUUAUACACGUGAAGUUUCCUCAAUGGAAAAUCAAUUGUAUCCUCUGUCAAAUAGAGAUGUUAAAGAUGACCAUAGUUCUGCCAAAAUUUCAGUUCAAGAACAUCCUGAAGAGUUUACUGCCUCAUUAAGAUUGCACAAUACUUCUACUGAUGGUAUAGUGGAGUCAAAUAAUUUUCACAAUAAGUCUAUGGAGGAUUGUUCUAUUGCAGUAGUAGAGGAUCACUUAACCAAGAAGUUUCAGGAAACAGAUGUAGUGCAUGUGUUUUCUUCACAAGAUGAUCAUUCAUUUUGGGAUUUGAAUGCUUCAAUAGAUGUAUGGCCACACCCUUUUGAUAAUAAAUGUGAGGAUUCUCAUAUUUCAGAUGGGAUUACUGAAGACAUGAAGGGUGGUAAUUGUAGCAACAUGAUUAGGAACUCAGAAAGUGAGAGCAUGAAAAGGGGAUUUGGAAGUGGUAGAUGUCAUCCUGAAACUGAACUGCCACCAGCAGAUCCUAGUGGGAUAGUUGAUAAGCAACAAUUUUCAAACAUAAAGGAACUUGAAUCGGAUUCAUGGGCUGAUAUUGAUGGGAUUAGUUGCUCAAAAGAAAAAUUGCCGUCUUCUGUUUCAAUUGAUAGUGCUACUGUAUCUUCUGACAGGAAUAAAAGCGCUUCAGCUCAAUGUUUAACUUUGAGCUCCACAGGGAAUGGCAAAAGCUUAUAUCCCCAUCAAGCUACAGGGUUGAAUGGUUGUGCGCAAAACCCUCUUCCCUCCAAAUCCAAUGAAUCUCUUAGGACCUUUAUUUCCAAAGAAAUCUGUGACGUGGCAUCUGCUGAUGUUACUUGUGCAAAGAAUGAAGGUGGUUGUAGCACUAUUGCAUGUGAAACGGUUUCCUCCAGUUUACAGGUUGAGGAAGUGGAGCUUGCUCCUUGUGUGACUUCCUCUGUUAACACCACCCGUGAGACAGAUGUUUCAAAUGAAGAUGCUAAGGGUGCCAAAGAGAAUUCUCUUUCUCAAUUUAAUGAAGUGGAAUUUCUCCCUUCUUCUCCAGGUGUUAAGAUGAUGCAAACCUUAAGUGACUUGGCUCUGGAUUCCAAGGUGAUAUGCAGCAAUGCUUUUAAGUAUGAUGAAACUGAUAAUGUAAUGCAUAAGGAAAGUGAGGAACCUGUGACGAAGUCUUCGGAAAUGUCUAUGGCAUUGUUACAUAGUCCCUCUGAUGCAUACAGAAACAACUCUAAGGAAAUUGUAAAUAGUUUUGAUAAGAUGGCUGUAGAAGAACGUUCUGACAAAGGUUAUAAUUCUGAAUUUUUUCAUGAUGUUCACACUGAUGUGCAAGCAAGUAGGUUUGAGGUGGAUUAUGAUUCUCAGUAUGAAGAUGGAGAAGUAAGGGAAUCUAUGGAGCAUAUCCGGCAAGAAUAUUAUGGUGAUGAUGUAGAAGCUGAACAUGUGGAUUAUGGUUCUGACAGUGAUAAUUUGGGUUCUGGUGCUGAAAAAAUUAUGACAAAUACACAGGGAAUGGAUUUCCAAACUUGUUUGAGUAGAUUGAGAGGCAAAUAUGCAAACGAUAUAGGUAAGACUGGUGGUAACAAUUACAGCAAAUCCAAAAUAUGGACUGACAAUGAGAUUACAGGUGACAGGAUUGAUUCUGGGGUGGACGAUAGGAGGAUUCAGUCAAGAAAUGACAGUGGCUGGCAAGAUAUAAACAAUGAUGAUGCGGAUGGAUUGGAUCCUGUUGAUCAGACAAGUAAGGCAGAGUCCAGAACAUUCAGAAGGGAGUUGUGUUCUCGUAUUGAAGAGCGAGCAGUCAAUGACCUACCCUUUAUAAGGGGCAGGUACUACCUUUUUAUUAGUUUUUUUGCCUUUUUAUUCUGCUGUCUCCCCCUCCUGUUGCCCCUCUUUCAGAUUUUUAGUGGAGAUGGAGCUGGAGCUGUAGUUAUCUUAUAGGGAGGAAAGGAACAACAAUCCCUGAUUUCAUUUUAUCCUCUUUAUUUCCCUCCCCAUGUACAACCGGUCAUCUGAUUGAUGAUCUCUGAGUAAAUUCCUUAGUAUGUUCUUGAAUACAGCGAUGCUGUUGAUUCAAAUACAAACCUGAAUGGGAGUCUUGGUAUGUUGAUUCGUUGAAUCCUUUUGUAGGGGUAGAUAUGCUCAGGAUCCUCAUGCUAGAAGUCAAGGAGAUGAUCGUUUGGUUGAUUCUCAAGCCUGCAGUAGGGGCAUAAAGCACCAUCAUUUGUCCAAGUACCAUGUCCCAUUUUCUUUUCAUCACCUCGGGUCAGCAAAAGGCUUGCACCAACGUGUUAGAAGAAGCGGAUCACCAGACGCUAGAGAUAAGACUCUUGGUAUGCAUCGGCAUAUUAGACCAUUGAGGAACCUUAGUCCUGGUCGGCGUGUGACCCUUGGCAGGGGCAGGUCUAUGAGAUAUGGUCUGCAACUCGAAGGUAGAGGCCCCAGGGGUAGAUACCAUGGUUUUGAAGUUGAUGAUUGCUGCCAUUCUUCUGUGACACAUUCACAUCCUGUAGCCAAGAGAGACAGAAGUUUUUCUCCUAUUAAAAGUAAGGAUCCUCGUGUACAUCAAUCUCACUCAAAAUGUUCUUCAAGAUCUAGAAGUCAAUCUUCCUGUUCUGGGAAUCCAUGUUUUAAAUCCCGAAGUAAAUUCCCCAAUUUUAAAUCUGCAGUCAGAGUGCAGAGAAUGAGAUCACCUGAUCGGAGGCCUGGUCUUUCAGUAGGUAGUGCGAGAGGAUUUAGACCAGCACGAAGAAAUCAUUUUUCACCAUCUCGCAAUACACAAUGGAUUGUUGAUAGGAAGGAUGGUGUUUUUCAUCGUAAGGGGCAGAGUUAUAAUACACAUUCUUCAUUAAGCAGGAGAUCAAUGGGAAGAUUUGUCCAACAGGAUGACAGGUCUGUUGAUUCUUCACGAAGCUUCAGAUCUGUGUUCUCAAGAAGAUUCAGGGAGAUGAGUGGAGCUGGAGGAGGGAGUUCAAGAUACGAAGAGAGUGAUGAUGAUAGGGGCAAGCGUCGAUGCAGAUAUGGGCUAGCUCAUUCUAUGAAGCAAAAUGACAUGGAGGGACCUGUGAAGCGUUUUCGUUAUAAUGUUGCAGAUGGUUAUAGUUCUCGUUAUAGGGAUGUUCCAGAUUCCUUUGGCAAAGAGAGUCCCAAUUGCCAUGGCAGGAGCAUUGCUAGCCAAAUUGGUGACAUUCCAGGGAAGUUCAGGGAAGGUAGAGGGCCAUUUACAUAUCAAAGAGGGGGGAAAUAUGAUGGUGACUCAAAGUCAUCUAGGGGGCAGCAAGGUGACGAUGAGAUGGCUUCAAGGGGAUGAUCUUCUUGACCUGUGUCCCUACUUAUCUCUUAGUGUAUUUGGUUUACAGUGGGCAAAUCAGUAGGUAGAUAUAUACUUUGGAUAAAAGAACCUUUUCCAUUAUCAGUGGAAAGGCAUUUAGAUCCGUAGUUCUCAUUCCCAGCUUUAUUUUUAACUUUUCUUAAUUAGUAUUAUUAUUAUUAUUAUUAUUUUUUAAUUUUAUUUUCUGAUUGCAGACUGUAUGCUAAGCUCCCCAAUUGAAAAAUUGCUCGACUUCAAUUAAAUUGCCAUUUUGAGAAGGUAGUAACAUUUUUGGUUAGAUGAAUUGUGAGUUCGAAGUUCAAAGUAGUAGAAUCUCAUGUUGGAUUGAUUCACCCUUAGCUGUUGUUUUAAGGAAUUGGAUGCUUUGGAAACUAAUCGCCACUUGGGUUAUUUAUUUAUAUUUUUAAUUCCUGGCUUCGUCUUUUCAGAAUCUUCAGCCUAUUUUAACAAAGGCCAUGGAUGCUACCGUAACAGAACGACUG